rnacentral:rRNA from 1 species
UGCCAGCCGCCGCGGUAAUACGAGGGGUCCAAGCGUUGUUCGGAAUUAUUGGGCGUAAAGCGGGUGUAGGUGGUUUUGUAAGUCAGAAGUGAAAGCCCCGGGCUCAACCUGGGAAGUGCUUUUGAUACUGCUUAACUUGAGUGUAUGAGAGGAUAGUAGAAUUCCUGGUGUAGUGGUGAAAUACGUAGAUAUCAGGAGGAAUACCGGUGAGGAAGCUGGCUAUCUGGCAUAACACUGACACUCAGACCCGAAAGCGUGGGGAGCAAACAGGAUUAGAUA